UCGGACGGUCAUAGUGGCCGGGUUCCACCCGAUCCCAUUUCGAACUCGGAAGUUAAACCGGCUCACGUUCCAAGUAGUACUGAUCUUUAGAUUGGGAGUCUUGGUUCGCUGUCCACU
rnacentral:rRNA from 1 species